rnacentral:rRNA from 1 species
GAUGAACGCUGGCGGCGUGCCUAAUACAUGCAAGUCGAGCGAACGGACGAGAAGCUUGCUUCUCUGAUGUUAGCGGCGGACGGGUGAGUAACACGUGGAUAACCUACCUAUAAGACUGGGAUAACUUCGGGAAACCGGAGCUAAUACCGGAUGAUAUUUUGAACCGCAUGGUUCUAAAGUGAAAGACGGUCUUGCUGUCACUUAUAGAUGGAUCGGCGCUGAAUUAGUUAUUUGGUAAGGUAACGGCUUACCAAGGCAACGAUGCAUAGCCGACCUGAGAGGGUGAUCGGCCACACUGGAACUGAGACACGGUCCAGACUCCUACGGGAGGAAGCAGUAGGGAAUCUUCCGCAAUGGGCGAAAGCCUGCCGGAGCAACGCCGCGUGAGUGAUGAAGUUCUUCGGAUCGUAAAACUCUGUUAUUAGGGAAGAACAUAUGUGUAAGUAACUGUGCACAUCUUGACGGUACCUAAUCAGAAAGCCACGGCUAACUACGUG